rnacentral:rRNA from 1 species
UGUCUUUUUGAAAAUAAUAUAAAGUCUAAUCUGCCCACUGAUUUAAUAAUUGAAGGGCUGCAGUAUAUUGACUGUACAAAGGUAGCAUAAUCAUUAGUCAUUUAAUUGAUGACUUGUAUGAAAGAUUGGAUGAAAUAUGAACUGUCUCUUAAUUAAAUGUAGAAUUUAAUUUUUUAAUUAAAAAGUUAAAAUAAAUUAAAAAGACGAGAAGACCCUAUAGAGUUUUAUAAAUAAUUUAAUUGAGAUUAUUUAAUAAGUUAAAAUUAAAAUUAGGUUGUUUAUUUUGUUGGGGUGAUGGAAAAAUAAAUUUAACUUUUUUUAUAUUUAAAACAUUUAUAAAUGAUUAAAUGAUCCAAUAUUAUUGAUUAUAAGAAAAAAUUACCUUAGGGAUAACAGCGUAAUUUUUUUUUUUAGUUCAAAUAAGAAAAAGAGUUUGCGACCUCGAUGUUGGAUUAAGAUAAAAUUUAAAUGCAGAAG